UCAAACUUGGUCAUUUAGAGGAAGUAAAAGUCGUAACAAGGUCUCCGUAGGUGAACCUGCGGUUGGAUCAUUAUUGAAAUCCUAUAAUCCUUCCGAGGGUCUCUUCCAUUGCGAAGAGUCACUCGAAACCCCAAAACCUUUUAACCAUGAGAAGAGGGAACACAAGGAGAAAGACAGGAGAAAAGGGAGGGAGGUCUAUAUCUCCCUCCGUUUCUCUCCAUGUUGAUCUUCUCCCUCUUCCUCAUGUAUGAACAUAUAACCUAGAUAAACAUCUGUCUGUUUCUCAUUUCUUUGUAAAAAGGAUGUGUCUCCUUUUCUCCCUCCAAUAGGAUAGGAAAAAUGUGUGAUCAUCCGAAAAAAGAAAAAAAAACAACUUUUGACAAUGGAUCUCUAGGCUCUCGCAUCAAUGAAGAACGCAGC
rnacentral:misc_RNA from 1 species